UGAUGAUGAUGAGGGAAAUUCUUGAGCAUAACCUUGAAUUUUCCCAAGCUUGGUAAAGAUUCUCUCCAUCUUUCUUCCUGAAACUCAAAGUAUCACUUCUUAAAUG
rfam:Capsicum annuum cultivar Zunla-1 chromosome 11, whole genome shotgun sequence